rnacentral:rRNA from 1 species
AAUGAACGCUGGCGGCGUGCCUAACACAUGCAAGUCGGAUGUGCCCGCAAGGGUGCAUGGCAGACGGGUGAGUAACACGUAGGUAAUCUACCUCGAGGUGGUGGAUAACCUUCCGAAAGGAGGGCUAAUACAGCAUGAGACCACGUCUUCGCAAGAGGAUGAGGUUAAAGCGGGUCACUACAAGUAAACUCGCGCCACGAGAUGAGCCUGCGGCCCAUCAUGGUAGUUGGUAGGGUAACGGCCUACCAAGCCGAAGACGGGUAGCUGGUCUGAGAGGAUGAUCAGCCACACUGGAACUGAGACACGGUCCAGACUCCUACGGGAGGCAGCAGUGGGGAAUCUUGCGCAAUGGGCGAACGCCUGACGCAGCGACGCCGCGUGAGUGAUGAAGGCCUC